AACGUAGGUGGCAAGCGUUAUCCGGAUUACUGGGCGUAAAGGGUGUGCAGGCGGGGAUACAAGUGGUGUAUGAAAUCUCCCAGCUUAACUGGGAGCGGUUAUGCCAGACUGUAUUCUAGAGGACGAGAGAGGGGUGGAAUUCCGGGUGUAGUGGUGAAAUGCGUAGAUAUCUGGAGGAACACCGGUGGCGAAGGCGGCAUCCUGGACCAACACUGACGCUGAGUGAGCGAAAGCCAGGGAGCAAACGGG
rnacentral:rRNA from 1 species